UUAAAACAAAAAUACCAGCUCUGGACCUGGGUUCUGUCCUCAGAACUGACACCAGGUGUGAGUCUGGACCCGGUUCAGCUGCGGUUCUGCAGUCAGGCUGCGGGAGGUCCGGCUCAGACACGGAUCUCAGACAAAGCCUUCUGUUGACGUUCUGCUCCUCUAAUGGAAAGACGGCCGCUCCCCUGCGAUGCAGCCGACUGAGAGCAUGCAGCACGGCGGCGAAAGCUCAGCGGCGGCGGUCCUGAGCGUCUUCUUGACGUCAGACGACCCUCGCCGCUGCUGAAGGUCCUGUUGGGUGGGCGGGCUCUGGCUGUGGGCGUGCUGGCCUCUGUUUGUUUUUCCUGAGUCAAAGUUUGAACAGGAAUCACAGAGCAGUGAAGGAGAGCUGCAGGACGGGUUGGAGAAGGCGAGUCCAACAGGAACCUACACCAUCUCUCAGCAGUGACCCCUACAGGCGACCAGCAGAAGCACAACCUCCGUUUGAGCAGGAGCUUCUGAGAUGACUGCUGUCACAAACUAUUUAUUCUCUGUAAAGAUUUGAUUUUUGAUUCAUAAUAAAAACGUUUAAUAAAUGGA